rnacentral:siRNA from 1 species
UUCUCGCAAGUGAUCCAGGA